UUCGCAAUGCCCGAAAGGGUGACGAAGCGACGCCGCGUGAGCGAAGAAGGCCCUAGGGUUGUAAAGCUUUGUCGAGGGUUAUGAAAUAUAAAAAGGUUAAUACCCUUAUUAUUUGACAAAGGCCCCAAAGGAAGUCACGGCUAACUCUGUGCCAGCAGCCGCGGUAAUACAGAGGUGGCAAGCGUUGUUCGGUAUUAUUGGGCGUAAAGAGCACGUAGGUGGUUUUGUAAGUCAGGUGUGAAAGCCUUCUGUUCAAAGGAAGAACGGCAUCUGAAACUGCAGAUCUUGAGUGUAGGAGGGGAGAGUGGAACUUCUGGUGGAGCGGUGAAAUGCGUAGAUAUCAGAAGGAACGUCGGCGGCGAAAGCGACUCUCUGGCCUAUUACUGACACUGAGGUGCGAAAGUUAGGGGAGCAAACGGGAUUAGAUACCCCGGUAGUCCUAACCGUAAACGAUGGGCACUAAGUAGAGGGGUUUU
rnacentral:rRNA from 1 species